AACAUAAUGAAGUGACUAGGAUCUUGGUAAGCAGCUAUUUUCCAAGUCAUCGCAGUUUUCAUGGUAUUCCAACCACCCGGAUUUCCGGCUGAUGGCAGACGGAUCAGAUCAUCAGAUAUCUGACUUCGGUCCAAAUAGAUGUCCUCAUUCCAACGGUGUUGUCAUGCGACUCUGAUGCCAUCUGUCCAUGAUCUUUGCAUUUCACAAUAAUAGUAAUAAUUAUCAUAUUUCGAAGAAUAUUUGUCAUACACAUGCAUCGUUGGAUGUUGGACUGCGGAGUGCGGACGAUAGAAAGGAGGAGAGGUAUAUAGCUCUGAUCUCACAGACGAUCAGACUUUUGUCACUGGCAAAUCUUCGACAAAAUAGACAAAAUAUAAAUAGGAGCUGAAUGUUCAAUAGCCAGAGCUGUGCACAGGUUUCUUUCAUCGCAGGUUAGCCAUGGAUAAAGAAAUAACCCCAACCAAGCCAGUUGAACCUAAGGAGGUUGAGGUCACCACGGAUGGCGGUGAAAACGGAAAGGUAGUCGUUACGCAACCCAUCCCCGAGGAUCCGUCAGAGUGUGAAUCAGAUGACGUCAUAAAGAAACGAAGUAACAUGGUUGGGCGGGGCGAGUACGGUUACACAACAAAGGUCACAUCAACCAGCACUCAUAGGACGGAUGACCGAUGUGCGAAUUGGGAUUGCCAUGGUGACGGGGAAUGUAUGGAGGUACUCUUCGGAUGUCUUCUGUGCCACUGUCUGUUCGGAGGUGACUCGAACGACUCCUGCGACGAUUGUUGCUCGGCAUGCGACUGCAAGGACUGUGGCGACUGCGACUGUGGGAAUUGCGAUUGUGGAGACUGCGGUAAUUGCGAUUGUAAUUUCAGCUAGUCUUUGACACCGUAGCUGUCUGGGCAAGUCGUGAAAGGUGCGAGAUGAAUGAUAUAAACGACAGCUACCCAGGAUCAAGACUGGCAAUAAGGGCAAAGAAACGCAACCCAUAAGAACAGCAAUCCAAUGUGAUUCUUUCUCAUUAUCAGAGUGUCCAUGCUUGGACAACCUGACUUCUGAAAGAGAUUUGGGAGUCUCCGCAGCCAAUAUGCAGACGUUUCUGGGACGUAGAGAGUCUGUUGUCAAAAGCCUUACAAUAUAUAGUUGUAUUUGUAAAAAAAAAUCGUUAAAUUCAAACAACAGUGUCGUCCGUGACUCUUGGCAAACGACAUAUUGUUUGCAAUUUUCUGUCAGCUCCAAAUCUCAGGUCGAUCAACUGUUCCGGUUCACUAAUAUUUUCGACAAUGACCUCCCAGGUUUUCAUUGUGCCUGCUAAGCUUGAUUCCGCGUUGUUGAGCGAAAACACGCUAUUAUCACGAUUAUAUGGACAAUAGCUCGAAUGACCACAUGGACCACAGCCGAGAAGAAAAUAUGCUGAUCACCAAUAACACACCAGUUUGAUCUGCUUCGAGUUUGAGCAGAAGAUAACUCAACAAACGUAGAGGGCGCGCGUCAUGAAUGACCAAGGCCUCAUGAAUGACCAGACGAGUGGGGCAUACGAAUGCGACUUAUUUUGCCUAUACCAGUAUAUCGCAAUUUUAUUUAUGGCCAGCGAUAGCCGAUGAUUUUUUUAUUUAUACUUAUACCUACAAACGUGUCUUUUAACUUAUUCUUUGAGGAAUCCACACUCAACAAGCCCUGCUUUUUAGUGGAUCCCUCCAUUUCCUCAACAUUUAUUUAAAUAGUAAAGAUGAAUAAAAUAAAUCAUAUGCAAAACUCUUUAACAUGAAUAGUCUGCAGCUAUCUGCAGAUUAUCUAGUUCAUCGUAAAUAUCAUUAUUAUUAUGAUUAUAUUGUUUCGUGUCUAUUGUAUAUAUUUACUUAUGCCACAUUGUCAUACUGUAUAUACUUGCAUAUUCAUUUAUAUAUUUGUAAUGAUUUCUUUUGCUGUUAAAAUUGAUUUGAGUUGAAAUGAAAUAAACCAAACUGAAACUGAAAUGAUGAUAAUUUCCAAUCGAUGCACCUCACUGUUUUAUCAAACAAAAUUCAUGAUGCACACUCUUUUUAGUUUGGUUCGAAAGAGUAUACUGCUGUAUCACAUAUUACAUCUUUAAGUUUUCCGCUCCAUAUAGAUGGCGAAAAUCGAUAGAAAAAAAUAAUUUUCUCAAUAAUUAGACCUCACUAUUUAUAUGUUACGAAUUAAAUAACUAUGCAAUGUGAAGUUCAGAGAACUGUCAAACAAUUAGGUCAUCGUGCUGUUGAUAUGAAACAAAUACUCCCUCCCCCUUUUUUGUGUAUAGGGAUGCUGAAUUAAAUGAAACGUGUAUUAAUAUAAUCAUUCGUGUUUGUACAGUAACAAAAGUAAUUCUAUUUUUAUAUUACCUGUAUAAUAACGUUCGGAAAAAUUACUAAGUAUGAGGCUAUAUUGCAUUAUCAUAAACCUUUUUUUUCCUGAAAGCUGAAAAUACACUUUUAUCAACAGGCCUAUAUAUGUUUAUGUUUGCAUGAAAGUGUUGUUUUUUAGGAGCAGCUGUGUAAAAUAAGUAUGAAAGAAAAUUAUUAUUUUUGCAGUUUAGUUUAGUAAUUCAAUUUUUAGGGGCAUCCCAUUGCCUUUGCCCAAAGAAUUUGUGUGUCUUGAAAUAUUGGUGUAUCAUAUUUAGUAAUAUAUAUAUAUAUUUCAUUCUUUGUAUCGUACCAGAUUUUUCUGUAUAAAAUAUCAAAUGAUACACUGUGUUGAAAUUCACUUCAGAAAUUUAUGAUGUAAAUGAGGUGAAAACGAUCUGUAAAAUUAGCUGGUAAAAAUGGCACCGUUCAGAUCAUUUUCAUGGUACUUACAUAACAAAUGCCAAGAUUUAAUAAACAACUAAAACCAACCCCAAAAUUAGGUACAAAUAUGUUUUUCUUCAUCUAAAGGUAUUGUAAUUGAUAGUAUCCCAUGUUAUUGUAUACUUCUCAGUUGUUUGUCAUAUAAUGGUUAUGUAUUAUUUUUGUUGCCUUAUUUUUUAAUGUCAGUCAAAUUAAUGUCAAUGAGAAAUAUAAAAAUAAAUGAAAUUAAAUGAAACUGUAUGUAUUUUUUUCUGAAAUGUUAAAUCUCCUUGAAAGAAGAAUAGAUUUCUGUAUUCGAAAUAGAAAUAAUAGUUGUUGAGUUCAAAUAAUUUAUACAUCGGAUGUAAAAUAAGAAAGUUAUGACAUUUUA
rnacentral:misc_RNA from 1 species